AGACCCCUGCGCCGCCCACCCCGCGGGCCCGGCUGUGCUCGGAGGCCGGGCCUGGCCUGCCUGGCCCGUGAGGAUCUGCACCAGCAGGGGCCUCUGGGAUGGUUUCCAGGUGCCAGCGCAUCUUCUUAUAGAGGUAUCGGGGGAAGCGGCUGGCAGUGUAGGCAGCUGGGGCACAGUAUCUGAAGAUGGAUACCUCGCAGGACAUGCUGAUGGAGAACCUCCCGCAAAAGAAACAGGAGAUGCUGGCAGGACACGAGGGAAUGCAGGGGUGAGGCUGGGCCUUGGACCCCUUCACCACCCCCAUCCGAGUCCCCAGCCGUUAUACCUAAGGGGGUUCGUCUCCUCCAGGUCCACAAACCCAAAGGAAGCGUACAUGAGGACCAGCUGUUCCAGGCGCAGGGUCAGCUGUUGGGAGAUCUCUAACAGCUGCAUACCAGAGGGGGCACAGUGAGAUCAGCUGGCCCGAGAGGAGCCGGCCUCCCCCUCCACCAUCCACCAUCCCCCCAGGCUUGGAGCUUCGAGAGGCAAGGGGCGUGGGGUUUAAGAAACUCCCACACACCCCCUUUCGGACCAGCUCCUGCAGGACUCCAUAGAUGGGGGGUACGCUUCUCGCAGCUGCCUCCAGGUACAGGAAGUAGGGUUCACACAUCUGUAAGAAGGUGGGCAUGGCCUUGGCCAGCUGCUCCUUCUGUACUUGAUCUCUGCUGAAGGAAGAAGGGGGCCUUUGCCUGGAAUCCCUCAUGACCUCUCCCUGCCCCCGGGUUUUCCCCAUUCUACUCACCCCCAACCUGUAUCCCUUGGCUAGACCCCUGUUAGAAAAGGCCCCCAGUUUUAGGUCUUUUCUGAACAUCUUUCUGGUUCACCCGCAUCACACCUGUUUAGAACACUUGUUAAAGAGCUGA